GUAGCCCUGGUUGUUUUGAGGAACUGGCUAUAUAGACCAGGCUGGGAUGUAAGGUCCACAGACAAACCGAGGCACCACGCAACCGAAGUUCACUCUGGAAAGCAGUGAGUUCAUUGGACUUCCUUGGAUCACAGGUGAGGGGUUACUUAGUGAAGGGUAAGUGCUCUUUUCUUAGAGGCCACACUGAAAACUAACAUGACCCAGCAGGGAUGAAGGCUUUCCACUAGUCACACAGAUGGAUCCCCACUCUCCUAGCUUCUCAGCCUAUAUACACUCUAGCCUUUCCUGGAGGCCACAUGCAAGGAAGGCAGAUGCACAUAGAAAGCGUGGUAGUAAGUGACUGGAUACCCAGUGUGGGGCUCCUGAGCCUCACUCCCCUCUCUGAGUGAGAUAAACAGUCAGUAGCCACAGCUGGGAUGUUCAUUUGCACCAAGAUGACAGUUGUUUGGCUUGGAGGACAGUCCUGUUCAACAUGUACGGUGUGUGCUAGAAGCCAAAAGGCAAGAACUCUUGAGUUCAUAGUCUAUUGAGAGAUGAAUAUUACUAUGACAACCUCUUAACGGCCUGGUUCAUCUGCAACAAUGGCUGGGGUGAAAGUAAGUCACAGUUCCUGCCUGUUGUCAUCUGAGGUUAUAUAUAGCACCGGGCCUCUCCUUUUAAUCUUAAAAGGUUUAAGUUUGAAUAAGAAAUUAUUCGCACCCCCACCCCCCACCCCCAACCGAAGAACAAGAAAGCACUGCAUUAGAGUCACAGAGGAAAGGUAAUUCUUGUUUUUGAGAGCUCUUGCGGAGCACUCGAGUGACAUCUUACAAACUCGACACUGUGUAACGGUGUAAAUGAGGUCCCUAUUCUCAAAAGACAUCUUCUCUAUAGAACAGGGAGUAA
rnacentral:lncRNA from 1 species